UACGAGAGGCCCAAACGUUAUUCGGAUUUACUGGGCUUAAAGAGUUCGUAGGCGGCGCGGAAAGUAGGGUGUGAAAGCCCUCGGCUCAACCGAGGAAUUGCGCUCUAAACUACCGUGCUUGAGGAAGCUAGAGGUGAGCGGAACUGAUGGUGGAGCGGUGAAAUGCGUUGAUAUCAUCAGGAACACCGGAGGCGAAGGCGGCUCACUGGCCCGAUACUGACGCUGAGGCACGAAAGCGUGGGGAGCAAACAGG
rnacentral:rRNA from 1 species